rnacentral:rRNA from 1 species
CCUACGGGAGGCAGCAGUAGGGAAUAUUGCUCAAUGGGGGAAACCCUGAAGCAGCAACGCCGCGUGGAGGAUGAAGGUUCUCGGAUUGUAAACUCCUUUUGUUAGAGAAGAUAAUGACGGUAUCUAACGAAUAAGCACCGGCUAACUCCGUGCCAGCAGCCGCGGUAAUACGGAGGGUGCAAGCGUUACCCGGAAUCACUGGGCGUAAAGAGCGCGUAGGCGGGAGAGCAAGUCAGAUGUGAAAGCCUAGGGCUUAACCCUAGAACUGCAUUUGAAACUGUGAUUCUAGAGUAUGGGAGAGGUAGGUGGAAUUCCUGGUGUAGGGGUAAAAUGCGUAGAGAUUAAGAGGAAUACUCAUUGCGAAGGCGACCUGCUAGAACAUAACUGACGCUGAUGCGCGAAAGCGUGGGGAGCAAACAGGAUUAGAUACCCCUGUAGUC